rnacentral:miRNA from 1 species
GAGUGAGGAUGAGAUUGAGAGAGAGGAUGAGAGGGGAGAAGUAACAAAGUUGAAAAUAAUUUUAAAUAGAUUUCAGUUUUUAAUUUUUGUUUCACGUUUGUUACUCUUCCCUCUCAUCAUCUCCUCUCAUCUUUCCUCUCAGU